UCCGCUUCGUCAGCACCGACUACAGCAGCCUCAUUCUCUACGUCCGCGUUGAGGAGGGCGGGGACGGCGGGAAUGGGGGCGAGGUCACCAGCCUGUGGGCGCUGCUGGCCAGACGCUUGCCCGGGGACCCCCAGUGGCUGCGGAGGUACCUGGGGUACGUGAAGGAGUUCCAGCUGCAGGAGGUCCCCGUCUUCAACCUAGAGGCCCAGUGUCCUCCUCCUGAAGCUUACAUCCGCCCCCUCCCCUGAGUGUCCUGCCUCCUUCCCCAGUUGCCUGCUGCCUUUCCACCCUCUGCUGUCUGAACCCCUUCCAGCCUGUGCCCGCCUCACCCUCUUUGUCCCUUUCCUGGCUUCUCUUUGGCUUUGGGUCACCAGGUCCUGCCAACCAAUGGCUGAGGGGCCCACAGCCCCUGGCAGCCUGGCCCGGGCUUGAGGUCACUCUGGGUGGUGAGGAGGGGCUGGUGGCCUGGACUCCGCAAUACAGUCCAGCGGACAGAGCCAUGGGGACCUUCGCUGGGAAGGUGACCCUGUUCGGGGCCUGGCUGGCACCCCUCUGACCUGCUGCCUCCUGGGUCUGCUCUGGGACCGUCCCCGCCCGGUCAGAGGGGCCGUGAGUGACCUGCUGCCCUGAAGAGCCAGGUAAAGAGCCCUGGCACCUGCCCGCAGGUGAGCUGAGCCCGGUCACGCCCUCUCUGAGCGUCAGGGGCCCAGGAGGGCGUGGCCUGGAGGCGGGUGCCCACCUCUGCCUGGACGAGCCAGGGCUCACCCCCCGGCCAGGCCGUCUCUCAGGAAACUGGGUCGGGUGAGAGCCUCCAUCCUCACGUCUGGAAAUGCCGGGAGACGGGUCUGACCAGCUCCUGCCCAGCGACGCCCUCAUUGGCAGGCCUCCCGCAGGCCAGCAGGGCGGCCACCUGUGCAGGUUCUGCCUGAGCAGCAGCUGUGAGCGGCCCACGGCCUCCUCGGAACCAGAAACCCACGCGGAACAGAAACGGACACAUUGAUCACAGGGCACAGGCGCACGAGCGGCCGGGAGCCGCGGACUCGCACGGAGACAGUGCCCAGUCCUGACUCUGGGCCCCGGGAAGAUGACCGAAUACACAGACCCGUGACCUCCUGCCUCGUCUCCAGGUGGAACGUUAAUAGCCCCGGGGUUAGCCUGCACCUUGAAGCCACCUGAUCUGUAUCCCAACCCCAAGUUUUCCCCAAACUGCAAACCCUAUCGAAGCGCCACACGGAGGAGUCAAGGUUUGGACGUGUUUUAGAGAGGAGUCGUGCCAUCUGAUCUUGUGGGCAGUUAGGCAUGUGCAGAGCAGAACUGUGGGCCGGGUGGAACCGUGGGCUGGUGGAACCGUGGGCCAGCGGAACCGUGGCCG